rnacentral:rRNA from 1 species
GAUGAACGCUAGCGGCAGGCUUAACACAUGCAAGUCGAGGGGCAGCAUGAAGGUUAGCAAUAACCUUGAUGGCGACCGGCGCAAGGGUGCGUAACGCGUGAGCAACUUGCCCGUUUCAGGGGGAUAACCGGUGGAAACGCCGACUAAUACCCCAUAGUACAACUUUGAGGCAUCUUUUAGUUGUUAAAGAUUUAUCGGUAUCGGAUGGGGAUGCGUGACAUUAGGUAGUAGGUGAGGUAACGGCUCACCUAGCCGACGAUGUCUAGGGGUUCUGAGAGGAAGGUCCCCCACACUGGAACUGAGACACGGUCCAGACUCCUACGGGAGGCAGCAGUGAGGAAUAUUGGUCAAUGGUCGAGAGACUGAACCAGCCAUGCCGCGUGAAGGUCACGGCCCUAUGGGUCUUAAACUUCUUUUGUAAGGGAGCAAUAAGGUUCACGUGUGGACUGAUGAGAGUACCUUACGAAUAAGCAUCGGCUAACUCCGUG